rnacentral:tRNA from 1 species
GAGGGUGUAGCUCAGUGGUAGAGCACAUGCUUAGCAUGCAUGAGGUCCUGGGUUCAACCCCUGGUACCUCUA